GUGGCCGUAGCUCAGUUGGUAGAGUACAGGAUUGUGAUUCCUGUUGUCGCGGGUUCGAUCCCCGUCGGCCACCCCA
rnacentral:tRNA from 1 species